rnacentral:rRNA from 1 species
UGCAGUCGAGGGGCAGCACAGGUAGCAAUACUGGGUGGCGACCGGCAAACGGGUGCGGAACACGUACGCAACCUUCCUUUAAGCGGAGAAUAGCCCAGGGAAACUUGGAUUAAUACUCCAUAAGAUAGUGGUGUGGCAUCACACUGUUAUUAAAGCUCCGGCACUUAAAGAUGGGCGUGCGACUGAUUAGGUAGUUGGCGGGGUAACGGCCCACCAAGCCAACGAUCAGUAACUGGUGUGAGAGCACGACCAGUCACACGGGCACUGAGACACGGGCCCGACUCCUACGGGAGGCAGCAGUAAGGAAUAUUGGUCAAUGGACGCAAGUCUGAACCAGCCAUGCCGCGUGGAGGAUGAAGGCCCUCUGGGUUGUAAACUUCUUUUAUUGGGGAAGAAACCUGUUUUUUCUAAAGCAGUUGACGGUACCCGAUGAAUAAGCACCGGCUAACUCCGUGCCAGCAGCCGCGGUAAUACGGAGGGUGCAAGCGUUAUCCGGGUUCACUGGGUUUAAAGGGUGCGUAGGUGGGCAGGUAAGUCAGUGGUGAAAUCUCCGGGCUUAACCCGGAAACUGCCGUUGAUACUAUCUGUCUUGAAUAUAGUGGAGGUGAGCGGAAUAUGUCAUGUAGCGGUGAAAUGCUUAGAUAUGACAUAGAACACCGAUUGCGAAGGCAGCUCGCUACACUAUCAUUGACACUGAGGCACGA